rnacentral:rRNA from 1 species
GAGUAACGCGUAGGUAACCUGCCUACUAGCGGGGGAUAACUAUUGGAAACGAUAGCUAAUACCGCAUAACAGCAUUUAACACAUGUUAGAUGCUUGAAAGGAGCAAUUGCUUCACUAGUAGAUGGACCUGCGUUGUAUUAGCUAGUUGGUGAGGUAACGGCUCACCAAGGCGACGAUACAUAGCCGACCUGAGAGGGUGAUCGGCCACACUGGGACUGAGACACGGCCCAUACUCC